UAUAUGUGUGGCCGUCGAUGGUUGAAAAAAUUGACUCCUCGGCUCGUUGCAGUGUGCAAUAUGUCCAUCAAUUACAGCAAAGUUCAGAACAAUAUGAAUCAAAAUUAACUAAAACCUAUUUUUAUAAACAGAUUUUACCAAUAUACCUGCACGGUAUAGUACAUGUACAAGUAUUAACUUACCUGUAAAUCCAAUUAGGAGCAAAUAUAAAAUCGGCGCAAAUGAAAAAAUGAAAUCGGCGCAAAUGAAAGAAUGAAAAUUUUAAAAAUCGGCGCAAAUGUCAUACGCCCC
rnacentral:lncRNA from 1 species